UACUCUCGGCAACGGAUAUCUCGGCUCUUGCAUCGAUGAAGAACGUAGCGAAAUGCGAUACUUGGUGUGAAUUGCAGAAUCCCGUGAACCAUCUAGUCUUUGAACACAAGUUGUGCCUGAAGCCAUUAGGCCGAGGGCACGCCUGCCUGGGUGUUG
rnacentral:rRNA from 1 species